UCUGCCCCGCACUAAGAAAAUCGGUCGCCCACACGACCUCCACCUUCUCCUCCCGCACGACCUCCUCCUCCUCCCGCAGCCUGGCGCCGAACCACGGGAAGCCGCGCCCUUCACCGCCGCCUCAUGCCGCCGGAGCCACGGGAAGCCGCCGCAGGUCGCCGGGAGCCCGCCCCCGCCGCGGGUCGCCGCCUCCCCAGCCGUGGGAGCCGCCCCGCCGCGCCCUUCGCCGCCUCCGGAGCCGUAGCUUGGCCGCCGCCACUCCGCCGUCCUCUCCUCUUGUGAGCCGCCCGCUCCUUCUGUGCUGCCGAACGGCUGCGCCAACACGGGCUGCCGCCGUCGCCUGUCGAUACUCCACUCCGCCGCCGCUCCAGUCGCCCGUCACCGCCCGCUCCAGUAAGCCUCUGCCGCCCACUCCUUCUGUGCUGCCCAACGGACGUGCCAGCAUGGGCUGCCGUCGCCACCCACCGAUCCUCCACUCUGCCGCCGCUCCAAUCGCCGGUCGCCGCCCGUCGAGUCGGCAUCUGCCGCCAACCCUCCGCUCCUCCGCCGGCGCCGCUGAACUCGGCUUCCGUCGCCGCCGACUCUCUUAUCCCCCACUUCGACGCUGGCCAUCUAUACGGAUCAUCAUCCGCCUGCAUCCCCAUUAGGAUCAGGGGAACGUUCCCCGUUUAAAGAUCUGACAAAUACGCCUACUCAUGUGAAUGCAAAUCAAGCGGGUGAAAAACUGCAAGAACAAACACCAAAAAGUGGUCAAAAUUGGUUUGCACGAAUGUCUGAUGAGAAGAGAGCGGAAUACAACCAGAAGCGAUGUAUUGCCCGAGCACGAAGACACCUUCUCCACUACGAUCUACUCACAGCGCCUACGGUUCAGAGGUAAUGUUACACCGGACCCUGUUAUGGGUCUUUCAUCAUUCGAUCACUAAAAUUGCUUUUGUUCACAUUAUUAUAUGACAGAUGCAUGUUCACUGAAAGUACUCCUGUGAAGGUACUUUGUCCAUUUAUAGUGUGUCGAUGUCAAAAUUCAGUACCCUGAUUAGAGUGACCUUAUUUCCAUAUGCAGUUGCAGAUUUCAGUGUGAUAGUUCCAGAGUGUACUUUGUAUGAUUUGUUCAAAAUCUGCACGUUUAUUUCCAUCUGCUUUGAAGGCUGCAUAUUCUACUAACUUCCUGUGUAGAAGCAUGCUCAUAGGAAGAUGUUUUAUGUGUCAUGUCGACAAGGGUGUUUGAUGGGAAAUCUAGGAAGGAUGCAUAUGAGGUGAAUCAAGGAAGCUGGUAGAAUAUGCAGCCUUCAAAGCAGAUGUUUGUGAAUUUUAUGCCAGGAACCCAGCCCCUUCUCCCUUGCCUGCUCCGGCAAUGAUGGAGGCGAAGAGGAGAAGCGCCAAUAGGAUAGGUCGCUAUGAGCGUGUGAGGACAAGGGGUAACGCUCUGCGCCCUCUGCUGGGGCGGCAGCGCCACCGUUGCCACGUGCCUCGGCUUCUCCAUCGGAUGGAAGUCAAGUUUUGAAAGCAUGCUUUGAUGAUAACUUCAUCCGUAUACUCUGCCGCUGGUUUCAAGUCAUGAGCAGAUGGAGAUCAUCAGUGCAUCUUCUCUUUCGCAACUGCUACUGCAAUCGACUCCUUUGCAAGCGCUGUUCCACUCCAGGAGAGACUGAAAACUGUCCGACUCUUCCGGCUCACAGUCAUUAUUACUCCCAUGGGUGGUUUUACGGCCACGGUCGAGCCUUCAAAUUAUAAAGAUAACAAGCAGCCCAAAUCCAAGAGGGAAACUAAUUCAGUUCUUCAAAGACUGCUAUUUUUUUGGUAUCUUUGUUCCAACUUUUCAUAGACACCACGUUCACGUGGAUAAUGUUUCUAUGCUCUUUGAAGUUCACCUAAGAAAAUAAGCAUUCUGGAAUGUUCAUUGGAUAUUUGAUUCCAUUUUUACUAUACAAUAGACUAAAUAGGCUACGCCCUUAUAUGAGCACUGGAGGUGUUCAUCCAGUCGAUUGCCAUUGAUUUGGGACAUUUUUUAUAUAGUUAUGAUUUCGUCA